rnacentral:rRNA from 1 species
UUGGAGGGCAAGUCUGGUGCCAGCAGCCGCGGUAAUUCCAGCUCCAAUAGCGUAUAUUAAAGUUGUUGCAGUUAAAAAGCUCGUAGUUGAAUUUCGGGGUUAGUAAGUUGGUCAUGCCUUCGGUAUGUACUGGCUUUACUGAUUCCUCCUUCUUGACGAACCGUGAUGUCAUUAAUUUGGUGUUGCGGGAAAUCAGGACUGUUACUUUGAAAAAAUUAGAGUGUUUAAAGCAGGCUAACGCUUGAAUACAUUAGCAUGGAAUAAUGAAAUAGGACGUUAAUCCUAUUUUGUUGGUUUCUAGGAUCGACGUAAUGAUUAAUAGGGAUAGUUGGGGGCAUUAGUAUUCAAUUGUCAGAGGUGAAAUUCUUGGAUUUAUUGAAGACUAACUACUGCGAAAGCAUUUGCCAAGGAUGUUUUCAUUAAUCAAGAACGAAAGUUAGGGGAUCGAAGACGAUCAGAUACCGUCGUAGUCUUAWCCAUAAACUAUGCCGACUAGGGAUCGGAUGAUGUUAUUUUUAAUGACUCAUUCGGCGCCUUACGGGAAAA